UCCAGGGUAGCCUAGUGGACAUGGCACCUGGGCAGAAGGUUGUGGGUUCGAUUCCCGCCCCUGGAC